rnacentral:rRNA from 1 species
UACAGAGGGGGCAAGCGUUGUUCGGAAUUACUGGGCGUAAAGGGCGCGUAGGCGGCCCGCGCAAGCGUGCGGUGAAAGCCCGGGGCUCAACCCCGGGUCGGCCGUGCGGACUGCGGGGCUCGAGCACUGUAGGGGCAGAUGGAAUUCCGGGUGUAGCGGUGGAAUGCGUAGAGAUCCGGAGGAACACCAGUGGCGAAGGCGACACACUGGGCCGUACCUGACACUAAGACGCGACAGCAUGGGGAGCGAACGGG